rnacentral:lncRNA from 1 species
UUCCUUCCCGCCUAUAGCUACAUUCCUUCUACCAGUACAGAAACCCCCCAGUUUUAGUUGGCCAGGGAGACAGAUUUGAGGCUUUGUUUCCUGUUCUCCUUGGCUGCUGAGCCAAGUGAAAGCCUUCUUCUUUGGUAAUAGUCAUUGUCUCAGUGAUUGGCAUUCUGCGUGGUGAACAGCAGGACCUAGACUGACCUUUGGCAUUGGGGUAACAGUGGCUGAUGCUACUGGUGGAGGAACCACACCUUGAGAAGCACUGAUCUAGGCACCUUCCACUCCUCUCAGUCUAUAGAUGGGAAAAUGGAAACUCGGAGAGGUUGGUGCUUACCCCACGUCUCAAGUUUCCUGCUCCUGGAGAAGCAAGACACCAGGAGAUUAUGGGGUUUCCCUCUCAGUAGCUGGAUCUUUCUGAAAGUGUUUUUCUUUGAAGGCAACAUAACUAGGAAGAAAUAAAUGGCUUCGGGCAUGCUGGACUUGCGAACACAAAUUUAUGAAGUGACAGCUAGUGUCAUGAUGCUCCUGCCUCAAGAUGACCUCCCAACCCAGAGCCCGGCUGCUUGGAGGGAAGAAAAGAACCAGGCUUUAUUCUGCAGAAUAAAACAACACAGAUGCUGGUGAAUGCACUGUCAGCCCAUGCCUGCCAGCUGGGACCAACAAUAGGAGAGGAGGCACUGGCUGCAUCGCUAACAGAUUUCCAAGAACGCUAUGGGCAGCCAAAAAAGCCAUUUGGGCUUGUUUCUUUUUCCUCUGUUGCCUUUCUGAGAGAUAAAGAGGCUGAUGGAUCAUAAAUGGAGAUAUGAAUUUGAUAACAUUUGGAAAGAGGUUAAUGGAAACCAACGUACAAACUACAGAAUAGGAGAACACGGCAGAUUUCUAAAUGCCAAUAGCAUUUAGAAGCUGCUCUUAAAGAAAAUUUGAAGGUGAGCAGGCGGUGGGCAGAGGAUCUGAAGCAGCUGCAAGGGCCUCACAUGAGUUUGGAAAUGUCUUCCUAAUGUGAUGGAUCCUGGCAUCAUUCCACGCAGACGCCAGGUAGGUGUCCCUGUCCACAGCUCUCUGAGCUCCUGGGAUAAUUUCAAAACAGCAGAGAGUGAGGGCAUGUGCAUCAUUUGAGCACAUCAUAGAGGGCACCACUGAUUCGCUGCACUGGAAGUUUGUUUGCUCUAUGUGAAAUCUCUUAUGUCUGGCCUAGAAGCCUGCAUCAAGGAACUGGGAAACACCACCGGCUCCCUCUGUGAGUGGCAACCAUGAAAUCCACCCUCCAGUGGCCUCUUGUGGACUGUGGACUAACUUCCUUCAGGGGUCCCAGGAAGUCCUAGGGAAGUGGAAACUCCCUUCCAUAUCCCACUUCAAGACUCAGCCAUUGUGCAGAAGAGGCCAAUAGCAAGACCCCAAUUUAGUUCCAUGCCUGAGGAGUUCAGCCUAAAAUCCUGAAGUUGCACAGGGUUUUACUGUCUUAUUCCAUUCUCUCAACAAUGCUGUUUCAUUCGCGAGGACAAUGGCACUUGGAGAGAUUGAGUGACUUCCUCAGGUCUCACCAAUUGUAAGGAGCAGGGUAGGUCCUGAAUUCUGGCCUCUUCUGGAUCCACAGGGUUCUGGUGCAUGGUUAUCCUGGUUCUGAUUUUUCUCAAAUCAGAGAAGACAAGGGGACAAAGACAUUUAAUCCCACGGAACCUCAUGUCAGUCUCACUAAGUAACCAGGGCUUCAGAGGAUGCCACUAGUCCUUGCUUGCAAGUAGUCAGGCAUUAUGCUGCUGCCUGCUAGACUGUGUUGGCCACUAGCCACACUUGGCUACUGAGCCCUUGAAAUGUGGCCAGUCUAAACUGAGAUGUGUGUGUGAACUUCAAAGGCUUUAAAAAAGAAGGUAAGGCUGGGUGCAGUGGCUCACACCUGUAAUCCCAACAAUUUAGGAAGCCAAGGAGGGAGGAUUGCUUGAGCCCAGACAUUUAAGACCAGGCUGGGCAACAUAGUAGGACCCUGUCUUUACAUUAAAAAAAAAAAAGAAAAGAAAGGAAAAAAGGAGGUAGAUACCUCAUUAAUAAUUUUGUAUUGACUAUAUGUUGAAAUAAUAUUUUUGAUAUGUUGGGUGAAAUACUUACAUUUAAAAACUAUAAUUUAUAUUUAUAAUAAUGUAAAAUAUAAUAAAAAUUUAUUUUACCUACCUUCUUAAUUUUAACAAUUGUGCCUACUAGAAAAUAUAAAAUACCCAUGUGGUUUGCAUUACAUUUCUAUUGGAUUACUCUAGAUUCAUCUGCAUCCCUAAAUGUCUUUAGUCUAUUUUUAGCUUCUGCUUCUUCACUCUAUAUCACUGUUACUGGUAGCGAGCGACUGGGUAGGUCAUCUGCUUUAGACUUUGAAAUUUAAGAGGCAGUUCACAGAAUGACGGCUAUUUCACACUCAGGUGAGCAUGGUCAUAAUUGGGUGCUCAUAGGGGACUUGGCGGUUUAAUGUCAAUGAAGAAGCCUCCUAGGGGUGAUGCCUCAUUCAUUCAACAAAUAUUUAUGUUAACAGCUUCUUUAUGAUGGAUGAUUAUGCUAGGUUCUGGGACUAUGUCUGGGAGCAAGAAAUAGUCACAGGCAUUGGGGAGCUUAUCAUCUGGCAGGGGCAGUAGACAUUGUGAUGGUUAAUUUUGUGUGUCCACUUGACUGGCUACAGGGUGCCUAGGCAUUUGGUCAAACAUUUUUCUGGGUGUGUCUGUGAGGGUGAUUUUGGAUGAGAUUAAAAUUUGAAUUGAUAGACUGAGCAAAGCAGACUCUCCUCCCUAAACGUGUGUGGUGCUUGUCCAAUUGGUUGAAGGCCUGAAGACAACAAAAAAACUGACUAAGAGGGAACUUCCUUGGCCUGACUGCUUGAGUUGCAACAUCAAUCUUCUACCCUUGGGCUGUGACUUACACCAUUGGCUCUCCUGGUUCUCAGGCCUUUGGAUUCAGACUGGAAUCACUCCAGCAGCUCUCCUAGGUCUUUAGCAUGGCAACUGCAAAUCUUGAGAUUUCUCAGCCUCUAUAGUUAUUGAUAUGAUUUGGCUCUGUGUCCCCAUCCAAAUCUCAUCUCAAAUCAUAAUCCCCACAUGUCAAGGGAGGGAUGUGAUUAGACAUGGGGGCGGUUCCCCCAUGCUGUUCUUGUGAUAGUGAGUGAGUUCUCAUGAGAUCUGAUGGUUUUAUAAGUGUCUGGCAUUUCCCCUGCUGAAACUUCUCUCUUCUGCCGCCAUGUGAAGAAGGUCCUUGCUUCCCCUUCCACCAUGAUUGUAAGAUUCCUAAGGCCUCCCAGCCGCGUGGAACUAUCAGUGUGGAAAUGGAUGUGGACGCGGUGCUGCUGCCUGAGAUUAGCAGGAAGCAAUUCUUUUCCCAUUUGGAGAGACCCCGGCUUUGUUGGGCCAGGAGAUGGUUUUGCAGCAGCAGAAGACUAUGAACUGGGCUUUGGGAGAUAGGAUCUCUGGUUGUAUUCUGGCUAUCCACACUCUGAAAGAGGACCGUGACAGAGAAUUUGAGUAUCCUACCAAUAUACCUACAAAAGGAUGAAAGAAGAUUUGGAGUCAAGGGAAAACAAGGGCAAUAAAAUAGAAGCUUACCACCUGCUCUCAUACAGUUGCUAGAAGAGGACUGCAUAUUUGGUUCUAAGUUUCUGGAAGAUAAAGCCAAAAUAGAAACACAACUCAUUAUAAAAUUUUGGUGUAUCCAUAAAAUAAAAACAAAUGACCUGUUUGAGAAAACUCUUUCUGAGUUUGAGCUCUAAAAGGAACUUCUCUAUGGAAUCCUUAGAAUAUGAGAAGGCUGUGAUAUAGGGGAGAAACCCCUUGACAUUCCUAUAUUGGGUUUAGGUCUAAUUUCACUCAGUAGUUUUUAAAUGUUACUCCUUGUAGACAGAUGAUGAGACGCCAAAGUACAGCUGAGUGAAAGCGGUUCCUUUGAAAACUAAAGGCUGUAAAAACAAGGCUGUGGAUCAUGUUGUUUCAGUUCUUUAUAGAUUUUUUAAACUGAAUUUUGCAUCUGUGUACAUGAAGAAUAAAUUGUAGAAUAUCUAAGGAAAUGGAUGGGCUGCUUAUCUUUUAGAACCUCCAUAAAUUAUUUAUUGUAAGUAUGUUUGAUAAGGAUUGUACAGCUGAGAGUUCAAGGUUGCAUUUUUUUCCCCAGCAAGAACCAAAAGUGCAGAUAACAUGCAGCCAAUUAAGGACAAAUCUGUAUGGUUUGUCAAUCAAUCUGUCAGGAUGUCCCUGAAUUGUAGCACUUAUCACUUGGUAUUAUAGACAUCUGUGUCCCUGGCAUAACUGCAUCCUCUUCAAGGGCAGGAAUUGCUUCUUUUCCAUUUUUGCACUCUAGCAUCCAGCAUUAUGUUUGAGACCUAGCAUCUAUAUGAGAGACUUUGUUGAACGGAAUCAAUUGAAAGGCUUCCCAUUAUCAUGCAGUACUACUUGACAAAGAUCAGAACCCUGAGCAAUCAAGGGCAGGAAACAUAGGCUAGCUGAGCUUUGAAGGAAGUGAAAAGAAAAAGAGGCAGCAAAGAUGGGAACAUGGAGGACAGUCUGAGAAAACAAGCUCAGGGUUGAAGGGGGUGUUCCAGUGAAGGGGUGAUGAGUGGGACCUCACACAUGGAGCAGAUAACAUUGGUGCAUCAGUUGAUUUAAAUGAGCAGAAUGGAAAGUGUCUAAAAGAGAGAUGUGGAAAUGAGUAGAAACAUCCCUUUCCUGUUGGGCCAGCUAUUGUCUAUGGUUAGUCCUUUUCCCAUCCUUAUUUCCUCUCCUCUGAAUUGCAAGUUGCUGGAAACAUGAGAAGUGCAUUCCUUGCUCCCUUGGUUACUGGGCUUCAGUUAGCAUUUGCCAAUGAGGGUGAGCACUCAUGGGAGACUGGAAAGUGGUAGAAAGGGAAAGCCAUUCAGCUGGCUGUGACAGUGGCAGCAGCGGGCAGUACCGUGGGCUCCAACAGCAUUGGUGGUGGCUCCAGCAUCAUCACUGGGAGCUUGGGCUCCUGGGUUCCUGCUCAGCAGCUAUGGUCAGUACCUUCUGAGAUGGCCUCCUCUGAUCCUCACCUCUUGGUAUUCAUGGCCUUGUGAAAUCCCCUUUGCUUGAGUAACUUGCUGCCAACCAAUAGAAUAUGGCAAUGUUGAGGGUUGCUACCUUUCUGACUAGGUUGCAAAUGAUUGUGACUUCUGUCUUGCUGGCAGGCUCUCUCUAUUUGCCUUUUGGUUUGUGUGCUCUGAGGAUGCAAACUGCCAUGUUCGUGAGACCUGCAUGGCGAGGAAUUGAGGGCAGACUCUGUCCAACAGCCAGUGAGAAACUGAGGUCCAACAGCCUACACGGAGCUGAAUCUUACCAAUAACUACAUGAACUUGAAAGUGUAUCCUUCCCUUCAGAUGAGUGUAGCCUGAGUGACACCUUAACUGAAGCCUAUGAGAGGCCCUGAAGCAGAGGAAGGACCCAGCUAGCUCACACCUAGAUUUCUGAUGCAUAGAAACUGUGAGAUAGCAUGUGUUAUUUUAAGCCAGUUUUGAGAUGAUUUGUUAUACAAUAGCAAUAGAUAACAAAUAUGAUGGCAGAGCUCUGUUCCAACAGCAGUAGCAAGCGUGUGCUUGCCGACUCUGGAUCACUCCACAUUCACCUCUUUGCUUCUACAGCUAUGGGACAAUAGCAGCAGCGUCCUACAGUUGCCAAUUUCUAGGUAAUGCCAUUUUCCACUUGACCUGUGUUUUCAAAACCUUUGUCACCAUUUUCCUAUAUUAAAUUCCUUCAUAAUAACAGAAGAGUGGCUAACAUAUGCACACAACUAUUUUUCUUGAUAGGGAGAUAAAGAGAGCAUUGCUGUAUAUUAAAUGUAGUUAUGUCUUUUUAGAUGUUUAAGAAAAUGAAAUGCACCUUUUUUCAAGUGAAUAAAUGUUUGCCUCUCUGUA